UACAGAGGUCCCAAGCGUUGUUCGGAUUCACUGGGCGUAAAGGGUGCGUAGGUGGUGAGGUAAGUCGGAUGUGAAAGCUCGGAGCUCAACUCCGAAAUGGCAUUGGAAACUACCUUGCUCGAGGGUUGGAGGGGGGACUGGAAUACUUGGUGUAGCAGUGAAAUGCGUAGAUAUCAAGUGGAACACCAGUGGCGAAGGCGAGUCCCUGGACAACUCCUGACACUGAGGAGCGAAAGCGUGGGGAGCGAACAGG
rnacentral:rRNA from 1 species